GAUGAACGCUAGCUACAGGCUUAACACAUGCAAGUCGAACGGCAGCAUAGGAGCUUGCUCCUGAUGGCGAGUGGCGAACGGGUGAGUAAUAUAUCGGAACGUGCCCUAGAGUGGGGGAUAACUAGUCGAAAGACUAGCUAAUACCGCAUACGAUCUACGGAUGAAAGUGGGGGAUCGCAAGACCUCAUGCUCCUGGAGCGGCCGAUAUCUGAUUAGCUAGUUGGUGGGGUAAAAGCCUACCAAGGCGACGAUCAGUAGCUGGUCUGAGAGGACGACCAGCCACACUGGGACUGAGGCACGGCCCAGACUCCUACGGGAGGCAGCAGUGGGGAAUUUUGGACAAUGGGGGCAACCCUGAUCCAGCAAUGCCGCGUGAGUGAAGAAGGCCUUCGGGUUGUAAAGCUCUUUUGUCAGGGAAGAAACGGUAGUAGCUAAUAUCUAUUACUAAUGACGGUACCUGAAGAAUAAGCACCGGCUAACUACGUGCCAGCCGCCGCGGUAA
rnacentral:rRNA from 1 species